UAUGUUUGUUUAUAUUUGUUUUCCCGAAAUAAAAAGAUCUGAGUUCCUAUUAUAUUUUAGUAUUAAUAUAUUUAAUGUAGCACUAUUAAAUAAAAUAGAAAUUCAGGUGUGAAAUACUUAUCAAUUUUUCUGAUAUCUGGAAUAUAUUGAAAUGAAUUUAGUUCAUUAAUUAAUCAAUAAGUUAUAAGAUUUAUUGAAUAUAGCUAUUAAAUAAUUUAAAAAAAUGAAGAAUAUCUUCAGAUUUAACACUAAGACUACGAUUAAUUUUUAUUUACACCUAUUUAUUAUAUAUAUAUUAUAUAGGAUAUUUAAAUAUAAUUAAUAAUGUUAAAAUUAGUAAGUAUAUAUAAAUUUUUGAAAGGAACUCGGCAAAUAAAAGUUUCAACUAGUUUAUCAAAAACAUAGCUUAUAGUUACUAUUAUAAGUGCAAUCUGCCCAGUGAAGAUUUUAACGGCCGCAGUACAUUGACUGUGCUAAGGUAGCAUAAUAAAUUGACUUUUAAUUGAAGUCGGGUAUGAAAGGAUCCAUGGAGCUUACCUGUCUCUUAGUAAAAUAUUAUUUAAGUUACUUAAAAAGUGCAAAUUCUUUUAUUUAAUUAGGUAAGACGAGAAGACCCUAAGAAUUAAUAUUAAUAAUAAUAAUUUAAAUUAUAUAUAUGUUUGUUGGGGCAACAAAGUUGGAUAACCACCUAUAAUUAAAAUAUUAACAUAUAUAUUGUAAUAAAUAAGUUUAAUUACCUUAGGGAUAACAGCAUAAUUAUAAAUAUAGAUUGUGACCUCGAUGUUGGACUAAGGACUAUAAUAAAUAGCCUUUAUUAUAGCUAGUUCUGUUCGAACUAUUAUACCUUA
rnacentral:rRNA from 2 species